UACGAAGGGGGCUAGCGUUGCUCGGAAUCACUGGGCGUAAAGCGCACGUAGGCGGAUCUUUAAGUCAGGGGUGAAAUCCUGGAGCUCAACUCCAGAACUGCCUUUGAUACUGGGGAUCUCGAGUCCGGAAGAGGUGAGUGGAACUCCGAGUGUAGAGGUGAAAUUCGUAGAUAUUCGGAAGAACACCAGUGGCGAAGGCGGCUCACUGGUCCGGUACUGACGCUGAGGCGCGAAAGCGUGGGGA
rnacentral:rRNA from 1 species